rnacentral:piRNA from 1 species
UGCCUCUUUCCCACUUUCAUCUCGUCUGGG